GUGGGGGAGAGGGGGGGUUAACACUGACACAGAGGUGGAGGAGAGGGGGGGUUAACACUGACACAGAGGUGGAGGAGAGGGGGGGUUAACACUGACACAGAGGUGGGGGAGAGGGGGGGUUAACACUGACACAGAGGUGGAGGAGAGCGGGGGGUUAACACUGACACAGAGGUGGGGGAGAGGGGGGGUUAACACUGACACAGAGGUGGAGGAGAGGGGGGGUUAACACUGACACAGAGGUGGGGGAGAGGGGGGUUAACACUGACACAGAGGUGGAGGAGAGGGGGGGUUA